rnacentral:rRNA from 1 species
AUUGAACGCUGGCGGCAUGCCUUACACAUGCAAGUCGAACGGCAGCACGGUUGCUUGCAGCUCGUGCCGAGUGCCGGACGCGGGCGUAUUACAUCGGAACCUGUCUUGUCGUUUGCGUUAGCCCGGCGAUAGCCGGAUUAAUCCCGCUUCCGCUUUACGCCUGCAAGUGAGGGCCCUUCGUCUCCGGCGCUUUAGCGUUGGCCGAUGUCUGAUUAGCUAGUGGGUGGGGUAAAGGCCUAGCAAGGCGACGAUCAGUAGCUGGUCUGAGAGGACGACCAGCCACACUGGAACUGAGACACGGCCCAGACUCCUACGGGAGGCAGCAGUGGGGAAUAUUGGACAAUGGGCGAAAGCCUGAUCCAGCAAUGCCGCGUAGGUGAAGAAGGCCUUCGGGUUGUAAAGCACUUUUGUUGGGAAAGAAAACCUGGAGGCUAAUACGGCGGGGGUAUGACGGUACCGAAAGAAUAAGCACCGGCUAACUACGUG